rnacentral:lncRNA from 1 species
AAAGACUUCUUCAUACCUCAUGGAUGCCCAUGUCUCCAGAUUUCUAACACUAGGUUUUCCAGGGUCUUUUGCCACUUCUCUUGGCAGCCCACAGAGAUGUACUUUCUGGCUAUACUCCACAUCUCCCAGGGGAGGACUCCUGAUAUUGAAAGGAAAAGAGAACUGGUAAAUGUUCUGGAAAACUGGCCUUAAAAUGUUGGGAGAAGAUACAGAGAGGACAGGUAAUUCAAAUAUAGGGUAAUUGAAUUUCUUUGUUAGCAGUGAGCUUUAUACACAAAUUUACCAUACAUUUGAUAGGAAAUUUGCUUUGUGUGAUAGCAUUUUCCAUUGAGGAAAAAGAGUUCUUGGGGACAUCUGCUGGCCAUAUAUGUAACGCCUCCAAAGCACUGUAAGAGGCACAGUAGGGAGAGGGUGGUGCAGUUAGACCGUGAGACCAGAAAGGGGCCCACACCUACAUGCAACAUUGUCUGAACUAAACAGAAGAGAGGACAUUUGGAAAGAAUAGCCGCAUCCCAAAUCUAGACAAAAGGGGAAGUUUUAUGAGUUGCCCGUACUCUUUCUCUUUUGCUUCUGUGAAUGUUUACAGAAAAUUAUAAUCCUGUUCUGUAUUUUGAGAGAGAAUGUAAACUACCAGCUCCCAACAUGUCAUAGCCACCAUUUGCCACUGCCAGCCACCUAUGGAUUUCCUAUAAGCAGGGUUCAUUCAUUGUGAAAAUUAGGUAAUUGAAACAAUCUAUCUGCUUCAGACUGCUGGCUUUAGGGGUGGUCCUUGCCUGUUGCCAUGACAAGUAAUUUGCAGAGUGAGAUUUUAGCCACAAUAACUCAUUAAACAGUAUGUUGUUGUACUGUUCUGUUUAUCAGGAAGACAGGAAUGUUUUAAAGAUAAAAUUAUUUAUUUAUUUUUAUUGGCUACUGGAGAUGAUAAAGCAACCUCCUGCCAAUUAGUAUUCUAGCCAGCCCCCUUUUUUCGGCAUUAUGAUCAUCUCCCUUGCUGCAAAGUAAGAUAUGAUAAAAGAGUGCAACUCUGUUGGUGGCGGUCAUCUGGAAUUCCUCAGUCAUGCCUUCUGGAUGGCAGGAUAUUGAUUAUAGUGCAGGUCUUGAAGGGAUGAAAUCAGAGCAGGUGGGAAAUCCAUAGCUGUGUUGCUUUGCAAAUUUGCAUGUGGCUUCUU